UGCCAGCCGCCGCGGUAAUACGGAGGGUGCAAGCGUUGUUCGGAUUUACUGGGCGUAAAGGGCGCGUAGGCGGUCUGUUAAGCUAGAGGUGAAAUCCCGGGGCUCAACCCCGGAACUGCUUCUGGAACUGGCAGACUAGAGAUAGGUAGAGGCAGGUGGAAUUCCAGGUGUAGAGGUGAAAUGCGUAGAGAUCUGAAGGAACAUCAGUGGCGAAGGCGACCUCCUGGACUGAUAUUGACGCUGAGGUGCGAAAGCGUGGGGAGCAAACAGGAUUAGAUA
rnacentral:rRNA from 1 species